AGAUUCGGGAGGUACAUGUGCAAGUUUGUUACAUGGAUAUACUGUGUGAUGCUGAGGUUUGGGGUAUGAUUGAUCCUGUCACCCAGGUAUUAAGGCUGAAUUUGUCUACACAUCAAACAUGUACCUAGGAGGAAUAUUUGCUCUGUGCCAUCAGCAGUGUAGAAACUAGAAUAACCAGCUGCCGUAUUGUGAGCUGCAUUAUGAAGAGAACCAUGUGGCAAGACACUGAGGGAGAUCUCCAGCCAACAACAACUCAUAAGCAACUAAAUCUUGUGAUGAACCACUGGAGUCAUCUGGAAAGAGGAUCCUCUCACCUUCAAUCUUUGAAAUGGCUAGAGCUCUGAUGACAGUUGGAUUACAGCCUUAGGAGAAACAGAGAGCCGGGGAAAUUUGUGCCCAGGUUCCUUUCCCACAGACAUUGUCAGAUAAUAAAUAUCUCUGCGUUUUUAAGCUUCUAUGUUCUGGGAUAAUUUGUUAUGCUGCAAU
rnacentral:lncRNA from 1 species